ACCUACGGGGGGCAGCAGUGAGGAAUAUUGGUCAAUGGCCGAGAGGCUGAACCAGCCAAGUCGCGUGAGGGAAGACGGCCCUACGGGUUGUAAACCUCUUUUGUCGGGGAGCAAAGCGAACCACGUGUGGUUCAUUGAGAGUACCCGAAGAAAAAGCAUCGGCUAACUACGUGCCAGCAGCCGCGGUAAUACGUAGGGGGCAAGCGUUAUCCGGAUUUACUGGGUGUAAAGAGAGCGUAGACGGUUAAUCAAGUCAGAAGUGAAAACCCAGGGCUCAACCUUGGGACUGCUUUUGAAACUGAGUA
rnacentral:rRNA from 1 species